AUGGGAACAGCAGGGGCUAGAGAGGCCUCUAUUAAUCUGGAUGUACUGGACUUACCAUCUAUGGAUCUGUCAACGCUUGAGGCACCAUUCACGGACGAGGAAGUUUGUAAAGCAAUCAAAGGCAUGCCUCUGGAUAAGGCAGUGGGGCCCGAUGGAUUCACAGGCAGGUUCUAUGCAACUUGCUGGCACAUUGUGAGCGUGGAUUUCAUGAGGGCUCUUGAGCAGUUUCAUAGAGAGGAUAUGCGGGGUAUGUCUGCAAUUAACAAGGCCCUGGUGACGUUGCUACCCAAGAAGAAAGGCGCUAUGGACAUAAAGGAGUACCGGCCGGUUAGCCUCAUAGGUGGAUCCAUCAAAAUCUUUGACAAAGUUCUGGCAAUUCGGCUAGCGGUGGAUCUACCCAAGCUAAUUGGACAACACCAAAGCGCGUUCGUUAAGGGACGCUCCCUACAUGACAACUUCAUGCUUGUUCAGUGCACGACACGGCGUCUACACGUGUUGAAAUCCCCAACGGUCCUCCUCAAGCUCGACAUCUCCAAAGCUUUUGACUCCAUCAGCUGGCCUUUUGUCAUUGAGGUUAUGAGGCGUUUUGGUUUCGGAGAAAAGUGGAUUGCAUGGAUCUGUGGGCUGUUGGCAACCUCCUCGACAAGGAUUAUGGUGAAUGGCAUUCCGGGCAAGCCAAUACUCGCAUGUCAGGGCCUAAGGCAAGGUGAUCCCCUAUCACCAAUGCUAUUCAUACUGUGCAUGGAGCCGCUAAGGGCCAUGUUCUCAUUCGCCAUGGAGAGAGGUAUGUUAGCACCUCUGGCACGGAACGGAUUGCAGCAGCGGGUAUCCAUGUUCGCGGACGAUGUGGUUGUGUUCUUCAAGCCAAAUGAGCUGGAAAUAAGGACGUGCCGAGAAAUACUUGCGCUAUUUGGUCAGGCCUCCGGACUUGUGGUCAACAUCGCAAAGAGUGUGGCCUUACCGAUUAGAUGCUCUCAGGUGGAGAUGGAUCUGGUCUUGUCUUCCCUUGGAUGUGGCAAUGCAAACUUCCCGUUGCAAGUAUCUGGGCAUGCCGCUCACUAUAAGAAAACCCACCGCGGCGCAACUUCAGGAUCUGGUAGACAAAGUGGCUGA
rnacentral:rRNA from 1 species